rnacentral:rRNA from 1 species
GACGAACGCUGGCGGCGUGCCUAAUACAUGCAAGUAGAACGCUGAAGGAGGAGCUUGCUUCUCCGGAUGAGUUGCGAACGGGUGAGUAACGCGUAGGUAACCUGCCUGGUAGCGGGGGAUAACUAUUGGAAACGAUAGCUAAUACCGCACAACAGUAGAUAUCGCAUGAUAUCUGCUUGAAAGGUGCAAUUGCAUCACUACCAGAUGGACCUGCGUUGUAUUAGCUAGUUGGUGAGGUAACGGCUCACCAAGGCGACGAUACAUAGCCGACCUGAGAGGGUGAUCGGCCACACUGGGACUGAGACACGGCCCAGACUCCUACGGGAGGCAGCAGUAGGGAAUCUUCGGCAAUGGACGGAAGUCUGACCGAGCAACGCCGCGUGAGUGAAGAAGGUUUUCGGAUCGUAAAGCUCUGUUGUAAGAGAAGAACGAGUGUGAGAGUGGAAAGUUCACACUGUGACGGUAUCUUACCAGAAAGGGACGGCUAACUACGUG